UUGACCUCGGAUCAGGUAGGGAUACCCGCUGAACUUAAGCAUAUCAAUAAGCGGAGGAAAAGAAACCAACAGGGAUUGCCUCAGUAACGGCGAGUGAAGCGGCAACAGCUCAAAUUUGAAAUCUGGCCUCUUUGGGGUCCGAGUUGUAAUUUGUAGAGGAUGUUUCGGGUACCGCCUCGGUUUAAAUUUCUUGGAACAGAAUGUCAAAGAGGGUGAGAGUCCCGUCUUGGACCGGCGGUAGGGCCCGUGUGAAACUCCUUCGACGAGUCGAGUUGUUUGGGAAUGCAGCUCAAAAUGGGUGGUAAAUUUCAUCUAAAGCUAAAUAUUGGCCAGAGACCGAUAGCGCACAAGUAGAGUGAUCGAAAGAUGAAAAGCACUUUGAAAAGAGAGUUAAACAGUAUGUGAAAUUGUUGAAAGGGAAGCGCUUACAACCAGACUUGAGCGCGGCGGUUCCCCCUUCCUUUUGGUUGGGUUACUCCGUCGUGUCCAGGCCAACAUCGGUUCUGGGGGUCGGUUAAAGACCUUGGGAAUGUACCUACCCUUCGGGCGUAGACUUAUAGCCCAGGGUGUCAUGCGGCCUCCCGGGACCGAGGAACGCGCUUCGGCUCGGAUGUUGGCGUAAUGGUUGUCAGCGACCCGUCUUGAAACACGGACCAAGGAGUCUAACAUCUAUGCGAGUGUUUGGGUGUCAAACCCGGAACGCGGAAUGAAAGUGAACGGAGGUGGGAAGCCUUGCGGCUGCACCAUCGACCGAUCCUGAUGUCUUCGGAUGGAUUUGAGUAAGAGCAUAGCUGUUGGGACCCGAAAGAUGGUGAACUAUGCCUGAAUAGGGUGAAGCCAGAGGAAACUCUGGUGGAGGCUCGCAGCGGUUCUGACGUGCAAAUCGAUCGUCAAAUUUGGGUAUAGGGGCGAAAGACUAAUCGAACCAUCUGGUAGCUGGUUCCUGC
rnacentral:rRNA from 1 species